GGGAAAAAUUGAGUUUCGGAUUCACAUUUCCAGCUUGUUGAAAUCGGAAAUGGCACCUCCAAUCUUGUCGCUGGUUCUUCCUUCGGAAACUGGUCGGGUUCUCAGCAUUCAGUCUCACACAGUUCAGGGAUAUGUUGGAAAUAAAUCAGCUGUCUUUCCCCUUCAAAUACUGGGCUUUGAUGUUGAUCCAAUCAAUUCAGUACAAUUCUCAAACCAUACAGGGUACCCGUCCUUUAAAGGCCAAGUUUUGAAUGGACAACAACUAUGGGAUUUAAUAGAAGGACUUGAAGCAAAUGAUUUGCUGUAUUAUACUCAUUUGUUAACAGGUUAUAUUGGUUCAGUUUCAUUUUUGAAUGCUGUAUUGGAAGUUGUCAAUAAGCUUCGCUCCAUAAAUCCAAAACUUACAUAUGUUUGUGAUCCAGUAAUGGGCGAUGAGGGGAAACUUUAUGUUCCACCGGAGCUAGUAGCUGUAUAUCGCGAGAAGGUUGUUCCAGCGGCUUCAAUGUUGACUCCUAACCAGUUUGAAGCUGAACAGUUGACUGAGUUCAGGAUUGUGACCGAAAGAGAUGGCCGUGAAGCUUGUAACAUUCUUCAUGCCGCUGGACCUUCAAAGGUUGUAAUUACAAGCAUCAAUAUAGAUGGCAAUCUUCUACUUAUUGGCAGUCAUCAAAAGGAAAAGGGCCAAUCUGCUGAGCAAUUCAAGAUUGUGAUACCCAAAAUCCCCGCAUAUUUUACGGGAACUGGAGAUCUGAUGACUGCACUUCUGCUUGGAUGGAGUAAUAAACAUCCUGACAACCUUGACAGGGCAGCAGAACUUGCCGUAUCAAGUUUGCAGGCUCUUCUGCAGAGCACGGUGAAUGACUACAGAAGAGCUGGUUAUGAUCCCCAAUCAAGUAGUUUGGAGAUCAGGUUAAUCCAAAGUCAGGAUGACAUUCGCAAUCCUGCAAGUUAGAUACAAAGCUGAGCAAUAUCAAUAAAUGGGUAUAGUGUAUUAGGUUUAUCAACCGUUGAAUGUUUGCAAACUGUAGCCUUUUGUUUUUGGUUAAAAUGGUACAUUGCUCAUGUAAUUCCUGGCCGAUUUGUUUGCAAACAAUUUUGCAAUUACUUUUGCUGUUAUGUUAUCUUCUCAAUCUCAUUCUAGACAGGAAUUCCU
rnacentral:misc_RNA from 1 species